AGUCUCAGCUGACUGCAGGUUUCCCAGAUCUUAUAAACAGUACAUUUGCAUAGUGAAGGAAACUAGCACCACUGAAUGAACAAUGUGCUGGGGGGUUAGUUCCAUGAUUGUUAGUAUGCAAAUUCUUAUGACCAUUGAUCAAUGACAACUAAUCAAAGCCUACUGAUCAAUGGCCAUGAGUACCAUUCACAGAAAGUGGGGAAUGGCUACAAUCACAGCAUUGUAGGAUGGCGAAAGAUGUACCCUUGGGCCCCCCUUCUCGAUUCAGAGACGGUCAGCAUCCUGACAGCCCGAUGGACGAAGCUGUCUCUCAGUCUGUGUGUUCUGGCCCGGAGGCUCUUCAGUAUCCUUCCUGAUGGCAGCAAACUGAAGACACUGCUGAAGGGAUGAGUGGAGUCACCUGUAAUGGAGAGGACCUUCCAGAUGAGGCAGGUGCAGCUGCUCUCACUACCUGUUGUCAUUUUUUCCUGCAGAACCCAGUGCAGGAGUCAUACCACACAGUGAUGCAGCUGGUGAGGAUACUCUCAACUGUGCCUCUGUAGAAGGUGCUCAUAAUGGGGGUUGAAUCUCUUUUGCUUCUCAGUUUGCAGAGGAAGUAGAGUCACUGUUGGUCUUCUCCACAUUCAGGGACAGGUUGUUGUUGCUGUACCACUCUGCCAGAUGGUUAACUUCACCCCUGUAGUAGAUCUCAUCGUGGGUCAGCAGAGUGAAGAGAAGGGGGCUCAACACACAUCCUUGGGGAGCCCCCGUAUUCAGUGUUCUUGGGCUGGAGGUGUUGCUGUCGAGCGUACCAUCUGCUGUCUUCCUGUCAAGAAAUCUGGCAGCCAGUUAUACAGCAAGGUGCUGAUCCCCAGCAGAUCCAGUUUGUGAAUGAGUUGCUGGGGAUUGAUGAUGCUGAACUGAAGUCUAUGAACAGCACUCUGACAUAUGAGUCUCUAGUGUUCAGAUGUGUGAGGGCUGAGUAAGGGGCAGUUGAAAUUCCAUCAUCGGUUGAGCGUUUUGACCGGUAUGCAAACUCAAAUGGAUCCAGGUUGGGGGAAAGCAAUAAUUUGAUUUGACGCAUGACUAACUGUUCAAAGCACUUCAUAAUGAUGGAGGUGAGUUUGACAGGACGGUAGUCCUUAAAGCAGGAGGUAGAUGACUUCUUGGGCACAGUAAUGAUGGUGGAGGCUUUGAGGCAUGUGGGAACGGCGGCCUGACCCUAGUGAUGUGUUAAAGAUGUCUGUGAAGACAUUUGUGAGUUCCACAGCAUAGUCCGUCAGUGCUCGUCCAAGGAUGUUAUCAGGACCUGGAGCUUUGCGUGUACUGAUUUUGGCAAGGGAUCUCCACACACUGUCUGGGGAUUUGUUCCCCACGGUCUGCAGAGUGGGCUUGUAGUCUGUGAUGGUUUGUAUUCCUUGCCACUGCCUCCAAGUAUCUCUGCUGUCGCUGAAGCUUUGCUGUAGCUGAUGCCACGUGACAGGUUUGCCCUUGCUGUUCUUAGGCUCACCUAAUUCCCGGCUCUGAAGGCUUGCAUUUUUCAAUCUUAGGAGCAUUUAAACCUGACCUGUGAGCCAUGGUUUCUGAUUGGCCCGGACAGUGAUAGUCCUGGUGUCACGACCUGCAGGAUUGGCAAGGUGCUGAUCAGAAUCUCUCCACUCCCAGCCCUCCUUCUCUUCUCUUUUUCCCUGUCUCUCCACCCCUCUCUCCUUCACUCCCCUGAACUCAUGGCGGCUUCACGCCCUCGGUCCACGCCUUCCUGGAUUGGGAACACCUGGGCCUCAUCAGACCAGCUGGUAUAUUAGAAGGAGGAGAUCAGCUGUUCAACGCUGGAUUGUUGUGAAGGCUCUAAUUCCCCGGACGCGUCCCCGUGUUUCCCCAUGUGGAGUGUGGAAGGAGUGACUGGUCGCUAGCGGAGAAGAGAGAGGUUGAACUGAGCGCGUGUGUGAUUUCCCCGUUUUCCCUGGAGCCCUGGACCCCUCCCCCUCACGUCUUGUAUAUAGCACUAACCCCGCACUGUCUGUACAUACACUUGGUGAAGAUCUGUAAAUAAACCGUCUCUGUUUAAACGCUA